rnacentral:rRNA from 1 species
GCUAAACGCGAAGAACCUUACCUGGGUUUGACAUGCACGGUAAUCCGGCAGAGAUGUCGGGUCCGCAAGGGAUCGUGCACAGGUGGUGCAUGGCUGUCGUCAGCUCGUGUCGUGAGAUGUUGGGUUAAGUCCCGCAACGAGCGCAACCCUCGUCCUAUGUUGCCAGCACGCUCCUUUGGGGGUGGUGGGGACUCAUAAGAGACUGCCGGGGUCAACUCGGAGGAAGGUGGGGAUGACGUCAAGUCAUCAUGCCCCUUAUGUCCAGGGCUUCACGCAUGCUACAAUGGCCGGUACAGACCGCUGCGAUCCCGUGAGGGGGAGCGAAUCGGAAAAAGCCGGUCUCAGUUCGGAUUGGGGUCUGCAACUCGACCCCAUGAAGUCGGAGUCGCUAGUAAUCGCAGAUCAGCAACGCUGCGGUGAAUACGUUCCCGGGUCUUGUACACACCG